rnacentral:misc_RNA from 1 species
GUGAAUCAUCGAAUUUUUGAACGCAAAUUGCACUCUCCGGUUUUCCGGGAGAGAAGGCCUGUUUGAGGUUCAGCCUAAAAAAAAUCGACAUUGUUGCGGUUUUAUGGUUACUUUCGUCGGAGAUAGUUUAUCUUAAAUCUCGGUUUAAGCGACUUAAAAAUUUUUUUUACUAUUCUAAUAUUGUUUCUAAUAUUGUACUUUCACGUUAACGG